rnacentral:rRNA from 1 species
AUUGAACGCUGGCGGUAUGCUUAACACAUGCAAGUCGAACGGCAGCGCGGAGAGCUUGCUCUCUGGCGGCGAGUGGCGGACGGGUGAGUAAUACAUAGGAAUCUGCCCAGUAGUGGGGGAUAACCCGAGGAAACUCGGGCUAAUACCGCAUACGCCCUACGGGGGAAAGCGGGGGAUCUUCGGACCUCGCGUUAUUGGAUGAGCCUAUGUCGGAUUAGCUUGUUGGUGGGGUAACGGCCCACCAAGGCGACGAUCCGUAGCUGGUCUGAGAGGACGAUCAGCCACACUGGGACUGAGACACGGCCCAG